CUAACUCCGUGCAAGCAGUCGCGGGAAAACGGAGGGGCCAAGCGUUAAUCUGACGUACUGUCCGUAAAGCGUGCGCAGGCGGCUUAUUAAGUCAGAUGUGAAAUACCUGAGCCUAAGCCAGUAACAGCAUUUGAAACUAAUAAACUAGAGUAUCGUUGAGGGAGGUAGAAUUCCAGGUGUAGCGGUGAAAUGCGUAGAUAUCUGGAGGAAUACCAGUGGCGAAGGCGACCUCCUGGACGAAAACUGACGCUCAAGCACGAAAGCAUGGGGAGCAAACAGGAUUAGAUACCCCAGUAGUCC
rnacentral:rRNA from 1 species